rnacentral:tRNA from 1 species
CAUUAGGUAACUUAAAGCAAGUGCUGGUCUCUUAAACCACCUUAUAGUAAAAUAGCGCUUACUCCUAAUG